rnacentral:lncRNA from 1 species
CUCAAUUAAAGAUAUUUCAUUUUUGCUAAAAACAACUAUAGUUUUCUGCAAUUUUUCCCCCCAAAAAUUAAUUCUUUGUGAAUAAUAGUAGAUUUUUCAAAUUCGGUUCCAAAAAAAUUAAUUAAUUUCCGAACAUAUAUGAACCAAGCCACCCCUACCCCCAAAAAAUAUAUAUAUAUCUAUAUAUAAUCCAGGCAGACGCCUCUGAGUUCUCUUUUGAGUUCAGGAAUACAAAAAUAAUGCAGUUGAAAAAAAACAAAAAACUCUUGGUUAUUUUUUUGUCAGUUGUUGAUUUCUCUGCUCUUGACUCUAAUUUGUGUUAUUCUAAUAAUUGACUUUUUGAUCAACAUCAAAAUUUAGUAGGUUAUUUGUAUGCUAGCUAUUCAAUUGCCUUCUAUUCUUCUUUUGUAGUACCCUGAAAGCUGACUUGUUGAGUUUGAAUUAUUUUUUAUUAAAGCGUGAAAAUAUCCCUCAUAAAUACUGAGUAAUUAAUCAGCUAACCAACAUAUCAUUUUGGGAAGAAAGUUUGAGAGAUAUAAUAUGGAUUACUAUUAAUGUGGGAUUGGUCCUAGGAUUGAUUUCAUAAUCAGUCUCCCCUCCUUUUAAGUCUUUUUUUUAGCGGUGCGAUCUUCUUAACCAUUCAACAAUCCUAUUGAUCGAUAUUUCAGUCCUUUCUUUAUGGUUUUCUUCACUUAUAACUAGGAAAGAGGUAUUGUUGAACAGCUGUAAGAACUUGGUUACUAAUUACGUCAUUUUAGCUGUUGCAGUUACCAUAAAAGACUGAUAAGAACGGGUCUUAGGACUGACACAUUUUAUUAGGCCUGGACUGAUUGGACUGCUAUCCUUUUGGGUGUUUUAACCGAUCUAACACUAAUUGCUAUAUUUGAAGAUUCUCCGUCAAAUUUAUUUAUGCUACUUGAAGGGUAACACGGAUCAACACCUAAAAUAAAUCCAGAAUUAGAUUAACAACUUUAAACUAAUUUUGAAUUGACUGAUAUCAUGAGCACCAAUGGUUAGAUCUAUCCGUUAAUUUUAUUUUUAAGAUUUUAUUGUUCUAGAAGGUAGUACACGCUCACCCCUCGUCAUUGAACUUAAUUAAGAAGCUGAUUGGUUUUCGUGUGUGGACAUAUUUUUUACUUGUGAUCUUCAGGCUUCAUUUUUCCUUAAUGUAAGGAAACUUUAGUAAAAACGAAGUUAACUAAUCAUUUUUUUAUCAUAUUUGUAUUUUUUAUAAUAAUUAAUUUUAUAAAUAAAAUCUACAUGUACUCUCACGAAACCACUGAACUACGUACAUUGCACAAUACAUGCAUAAUCAAAGGUUCCUAAAAAAAUAGGUUAUUGAUUAUUUAUUCUCUGAUAUAAUUCUUAAUAACUUACUGGAGCAUUAAGAAGUAAUUGAUAAAUAGUGGUUCAUCAAGUUUAAGGCAUCUCAAAAUAUAAUAAAUAAACUAAAGGAGAGCAGGGCUAGAUGGAACACUUCUUAGAAUAUUAGUAGAGCUGCGACUUUUGUUGGAAAAAAGUUGAUAGAAGGAAUGAAAGAAAAAGAAAAAUUGGUUUGUGUAAGAGUAUUAGUUCUAUCAACAAUGAUGUAAAUCCGGUGUAUUUUUUGUAGGCCCGUCAAUUUGUUAUUGGUAAUAUAAAGAAGGAAUUUUGUUUUCCUUAGCAGUCGUCAUUAUUAUUUUAUUCCUGUGAAGUGAACAUCCUUUCCUAAAUAGAUCCAUUAUGUUCAAAACCUGUUUGAACAUUGGUAUGUGCUCAUACGUAAGCUGCUAUAUAUAUUUCUGCCCUAGUAAUGAAAAUGCGAAUAUUUACCAUCAAAAAUGAUUAAAUUGUUUUUCAAAGUAUUCUCCAGCAUGAUUUAUACACUUUUACAUUCCCUCAAACUGAGUUGUUAUUCUAACUCGUUUUUCAUAACUAAUAUUUUAAUUUAAUUUUCAGAGGAAGUUCAUGACCCAACAAAAGAAUGUAUUACCACUGGAAAUUUCCUAUGCGUUUUCCCAUUUGAAUAUAGUGGUGUAACCUACAACAAGUACACAGAUACUGAUUUCCAAGGUUAGAAAUGGUGCGCCAUUAACAAAUAUCAAAACACUGAAGAAGCCUACCAUUUUCAAGAAUGCAACAUGAGCUCUCAAUGUCAACCAUAAAUAUAAAUUUAAUAAUUUUACAUAAAAUGGAGACUUAAA